GAAUGGUUAAUGGUUUACCUUGAUACCAGCAAGAAGUGUGCACUCACACACAUACACAAGCCCAUUUAAGGGAAUGUAUUACAUAUUGUAGUUUAUGACAUCAAAAGCUACAUUUUUGAACUAAAAAACUACUAAUUUUGUCAUAUUCAACACAGAAUAUUUAUAUAUGAAGUAUGAGAUUUGUGCUUAAAUAGCUUUUUGAAUUACAUUUUAAAGUG